UUCUUAUCGAGAGUGGUGGAGGGAUUAGGCCCUGCGAAGCCACGGCAACCGGUCCUAAUAAAGGAUGCUUGGUGCUAAAUCCUACCUGUCGCGCGAGUGGAGCGCGGCCGGGGAUAGAUAAGAG
rnacentral:ncRNA from 2 species